rnacentral:rRNA from 1 species
AAUGAACGCUGGCGGCAGGCCUAAAACAUGCAAGUCGAGCGCCCCAGCAAUAGGGAGCGGCGCACGGGUGAGUAACACGUGGGAAUAUGCCUUUUGGUACGGAACAACGUUUGGAAACGAACGCUAAUGCCGUAUGGUCCCUUCGGGGUAAAGAUUUAUCGCCAAAAGAUUAGCCCGCGUUGGAUUAGCUAGUUGGUAGGGUAAUGGCCUACCAAGGCGACGAUCCAUAGCUGGUCUGAGAGGACGAUCAGCUACACUGGGACUGAGACACGGCCCAGACUCCUACGGGAGGCAGCAGUUAGGAAUAUUGAACAAUGGGCGCAAGCCUGAUCCAGCCAUGCCGCGUGAGUGAUGAAGGCCUUCGGGUUGUAAAGCUCUUUAGCCGAUGAUUAUAAUGACUGUAGUCGGAAAAUAAGCCCCGGCUAACUUCGUGCCAGCCGCCGCGGUAA